rnacentral:rRNA from 1 species
GGGAAAGAUGAAAGAACUAAAUCAAGCAUUAAGAAGCAAAGACAAACCCUUUUACCUUCUGCAUAAUGUAUUAACUAGAAAUACUUUACGUAGAGAACCACAGCCAAAUCUGCCAAAACCAGACAAGCUACUCAAAGAUAGCUGAAAGAGCAUACCCAUCUAUGUGGCAAAAUAGUGGGAAGAUUCAUGAGUAGCAGUGACAAACCUCCCAGCCUGGUGACAGCUGGUUGUCCAAGACAAUCUUAGUUCAAUUGUAAACUUACCCACAGAAUUACUUAAUCUCCCUGUAAGUUUAACUGUAAGUCUAAAGAGGGACAGCUCUUUAGACCGUAGGAAACAACCUUUCUACAGAGAGUAAACAAUAUUAUUAUCAUAGUUGGCCCAAAAGCAGCCACCAAUUAAGAAAGCAUUCAAGCUCAACAUAUAACUAUUUUUAAUCCUACUCACUUUACUGAACUCCUAACAUCACAUUGGACUAAUCUCUCGCUUGUUAGAAGCAAUAAUGUUAAUAUGAGUACCAUGAAAAUAUUCUCUGUUGCAUAAGCUUACAUCAGACUGGAAUAUUCACUGACAGUUAAAAGACUAAUGAUAAUAUACUAUAUAGCAAGCACCCUAUUAUUUAUACUGUUAAUCCAACACAGGCAUGUUCUAAAAAAAGAUUACAAAAAGUAAAGGGAAUUCAGCAAAUCUUACCCCACCUGUUUACCAAAAACACCACCUCUACCAUUACUAGUGUUAAAGGCACUGCCUGCCCAGUGACGUAUGCUCAACAGCCAUGGUAUCCCGGCCCUGCAAAGGCAGCAUAAUCACUUGUUCCAUAAAUAGGGACUUGUAUGAAUGGCCUCAUGAGUGUUCAGCAGUCUCUUACUUUUAAUCAGUGAAAUUAACCUAUCUGUGAAGAGGCAAAUGUAAACAAGUAAGACUAGAAGACCCUAUGGAGCUUCAAUUCUCUAAUGCAAAUAAAAACUAAGAAAGCCUCCAGGCUCUAGCCCACUAUCUCUGCAUUAAAAAUUUUGGUUGGGGUAACCUCGAAACAUAAUUCAACCUCCGAACAACCUAAACUAAGACCACACUAAUCUAAGUGAAUUAACAUACAUUGACUCAAUUAUUUAAUCAAGGGAACAAGUUACCCUAGGGUAACUUGUGCAAUCCUAUUCUAGAGUCCAUAUUGACAACAGAGUUUAUGACCUCAAUGUUGGAUUAGGACAUCCUAAUGGUGUAACCACUAUUAAGGGUUCAUUUGUUUAACAAUUAAAGUCCUACGUGAUCUGAGUUCAGACUGAAGUAAUCCAGGUCAGUUUCUAUUUAAUAUUUCUCCCAG